rnacentral:lncRNA from 1 species
AUAGCUGCUCACAAAAUUUUGUGACGAGGUGGGGUUUGAAUUUUGGGGGCAAAGACAUUUCAAGCAGGUAGUGGAUAAAUUAAGGGCAUGUUUGGUUCAUGGCCAAAAUUGGAAUCGAAGCUGGAAUUGAAAUGGAUUAAAUUAUGAGAAUUAUAAUUAGAAUGAUUAUAUCCCUGACAUUUAGUUCACGACGAGAAUCAAAAAUGGAAUUGGAAUGCAAUUUAAAUAUUAGGAAAGAAUAAAGAUUGGGCUUUAGGAGAUUGGGACAUUUUUUUUCUUUUCUGAAAUCGAAAUGAAAAUAAGAUCUUCCAACCAAAUAGCUAGAACAGG